CCCGGAGUCUAUUCGAAGGGGGCUGCUACGUCAGCGCGUCUCAGCGUAAGACGGCGCUAUUCCGCUGUAACAGCUUCCGGCGGGUCCUGGAUGUUGAUGUCCUGCAUCUAACGCGGUGUAACCCCCGAAGCCGAGCGAGCUCCGGAGGAAUUUCAGUAUCUGCUACGGUAACUUCAUCAGCCCGCCAAGAUGGCGAUGCAAGCGGCCAAGAGGGCGAACAUUCGACUUCCACCUGAAGUAAAUCGGAUAUUGUAUAUAAGAAAUUUGCCAUACAAAAUCACAGCUGAAGAAAUGUAUGAUAUAUUUGGGAAAUAUGGACCUAUUCGUCAAAUCAGAGGGGAACACACCUGAAACUAGAGGAACAGCUUAUGUGGUCUAUGAGGACAUCUUUGAUGCCAAGAAUGCAUGUGAUCACCUAUCGGGAUUCAAUGUUUGUAACAGAUACCUUGUGGUUUUGUACUAUAAUGCCAACAGGGCAUUUCAGAAGAUGGACACAAAGAAGAAGGAGGAACAGUUGAAGCUUCUCAAGGAGAAAUAUGGCAUCAACACAGAUCCACCAAAAUAAAUGUUUUCUACAUUUUCAUUUGGACUAAAUCCCACGAAUGACAACUACCACCUUUUUUUCCUUUUUAAUUAAUACUAAAUAUUGUGAUUUCUUAUUUGAGGUUCAAAAUGACCUGCUUGAAACUUUGAUACAUAUUGGAAUACAUUAUGUUAAUAAACUUGUAGCUUUUUG
rnacentral:lncRNA from 1 species